rnacentral:rRNA from 1 species
UACGUAGGGUGCGAGCGUUGUCCGGAAUUAUUGGGCGUAAAGAGCUUGUAGGCGGUCUGUCGCGUCUGCUGUGAAAAUCCGGGGCUCAACCCCGGACUUGCAGUGGGUACGGGCAGACUAGAGUGUGGUAGGGGAGACUGGAAUUCCUGGUGUAGCGGUGAAAUGCGCAGAUAUCAGGAGGAACACCGGUGGCGAAGGCGGGUCUCUGGGCCGAUACUGACGCUGAGGAGCGAAAGCGUGGAGAGCGAACAGG